rnacentral:rRNA from 1 species
CCCUCCCUCUGGCGGCAUGCCUAACACAUGCAAGUCGAACGAGACCUUCGUGUCUAGUGGCGCACGGGUGCGUAACGCGUGGGAACCUGCCCUUAGGUUCGGAAUAACUCCCCGAAAGGGGUGCUAAUACCGGAUAAUGUCUUCGGACCAAAGAUUUAUCGCCUUUGGAUGGGCCCGCGUUUGAUUAGCUAGUUGGUAGGGUAAAAGCCUACCAAGGCGACGAUCCAUAGCUGGUCUGAGAGGAUGAUCAGCCACACUGGGACUGAGACACGGCCCAGACUCCUACGGGAGGGAGCAGUGGGGAAUAAUGGACAAUGGGCGAAAGCCUGAUCCAGCAAUGCCGCGUGAGUGAUGAAGGCCUUAGGGUUGUAAAGCUCUUUUACCCGGGAUGAUAAUGACAGUACCGGGAGAAUAAGCUCCGGUUAACUCCGU